UUGGUUUAACAGGUAAAGCUUAAGAUUCAUGAUUUUGGAAUAUAGGUUCAAUUCCUUUA
rnacentral:tRNA from 1 species